rnacentral:rRNA from 1 species
CCUACGGGUGGCAGCAGUGGGGGAUAUUGCACAAUGGGGGGAACCCUGAUGCAGCGACGCCGCGUGGGUGAAGGAGCGUUUCGGCGCGUAAAGCCCUAUCGGCAGGGAAGAAGAUGACGGUACCUGACCAAGAAGCCACGGCUAACUACGUGCCAGCAGCCGCAGUAAUACUAAGGGGGCAAGCUUUAUCCGGAAUUACUGGGGUGUAAGGGAGCGUAAGCGGCAAGGCAAGGCCGGAGUGAAAACUCGUGGCUUCACCCUGGGGAUGGUCUGGAAACUGGAAAACUAGAGUGCGGGAGGGGGAAGCGGAAUUCCUUGGGGAGCGGUGAAAGGCGGAGAUAUUAGGAAGAACCACAGGGGCGAAGGGGGGCUUCUGGGCCGAUAAUGACGUUGGAGCUUGGAAGGGGUGGGGGCAAACAGGAUUAGAUAUCCCAGUAGUC